rnacentral:rRNA from 1 species
AGAGUUUGAUCCUGGCUCAGAACGAACGCUGGCGGCGUGGAUUAGGCAUGCAAGUCGAACGAGAACCUUAGGAUUCAAUUCUUCGGAAAAGAUUCCUUUGGAGAGAGUGGCGAAAGGGUGAGUAACGCGUGGGCAAUUUGCCCUUAAGUUGGGGAUAGCCACUGGAAACGGUGGAUAAUACCGAAUGUGGUCGUACAUCGCAUGAUGUACUGUCUAAAGACGGGGAUCUUCGGACCUGUCGCUUGAGGAUGAGCCCGCGUCCCAUCAGCUUGUUGGUAGGGUAACGGCCUACCAAGGCUCACGGGUAGCUGGUCUGAGAGGAUGGUCAGCCACACUGGGACUGAGACACUGCCCAGACUCCUACGGGAGGCUGCAGUCGAGAAUCAUUCGCAAUGCGCGAAAGCGUGACGAUGCGACGCCGCGUGUAGGAUGACGGCCUUCGGGUUGUAAACUACUGACAUGGGGGAACAACCACCCGAGUGUUAAUAGCACUUGGGCCUGAUGGUACCCCAAGAGGAAGCCACGGCUAACUCUGUGCCAGCAGCCGCGGUAAUACAGAGUGGCGAGCGUUGUUCGGAUUUACUGGGCGUAAAGGGUGCGUAGGCGGUUUUGUAUGUCGGAUGUGAAAUCUCACUUUUCAUGGGUGAAACUGCAUUCGAAACUGCAGAGCUAGAGUACGGAAGAGGAGAGCGGAAUUCUUGGUGUAGCGGUGAAAUGCGUAGAUAUCAAGAGGAACACCGGUGGCGAAGGCGGCUCUCUGGAACGAUACUGACGCUGAGGCACGAAAGCUGGGGGAGCAAACAGGAUUAGAUACCCUGGUAGUCCCAGCCGUAAACGGUGUGCACUUGGUGUAGGUCGGUUUGUCCCGAUCUGUGCCGGAGCUAACGCUUUAAGUGCACCGCCUGGGGAGUACGGUCGCAAGGCUAAAACUCAAAGGAAUUGACGGGGGCCCGCACAAGCGGUGGAGCAUGUGGCUUAAUUCGAUGCAACGCGAAGAACCUUACCUGGGCUUGACAUGUAACUGCAUUCCUUCCGAAAGGAGGGAAGCCUUCGAGGGUGUUACACAGGUGCUGCAUGGCUGUCGUCAGCUCGUGCCGUGAGGUGUUGGGUUAAGUCCCGCAACGAGCGCAACCCUUGUGAUUAGUUGCUAGUGUUUCAGAGAUGGAGCAAGCACUCUAAUCAGACUGCCUGUUAUAAGCAGGAGGAAGGUGGGGAUGACGUCAAGUCAGUAUGGUCCUUAUGCCCAGGGCUGCACACGUGCUACAAUGGGCGGUACAGAGGGACGCAAGACCGCGAGGUGGAGCAAAUCCCCAAAACCGUCCUAAGUUCGGAUCGAAGUCUGCAACUCGACUUCGUGAAGUUGGAAUCGCUAGUAAAGGCGUAUCAGCUACGACGCCUUGAAUACGUUCCCGGGCCUUGUACACACCGCCCGUCACAUCACGAAAGCCGAUUGCACCCGAAGUCGCUGAUCUAACCCGCAAGGGAAGAAGGUGCCGAAGGUGUGAUUGGUGAUUGGGAUGAAGUCGUAACAAGGUA